CCUGGUGGCGAGUGGCGAACGGGUGAGUAAUACAUCGGAAUGUACCUUGUAGUGGGGGAUAGCUCGGCGAAAGCCGGAUUAAUACCGCAUACGCUCUGAGGAGGAAAGCGGGGGACCUUCGGGCCUCGUGCUACAAGAGCAGCCGAUGUCAGAUUAGCUAGUUGGUGGGGUAAAAGCUCACCAAGGCGACGAUCUGUAGCUGGUCUGAGAGGACGACCAGCCAAACUGGGACUGAGACACGGCCCAGACUCCUACGGGAGGCAGCAGUGGGGAAUUUUGGACAAUGGGCGAAAGCCUGAUCCAGCAAUGCCGCGUGUGUGAAGAAGGCCUUCGGGUUGUAAAGCACUUUUGUCCGGAAAGAAAUCCCUUGGGAUAAUACCUCGGGGGGAUGACGGUACCGGAAGAAUAAGCACCGGCUAACUACGUGCCAGCAGCCGCGGUAAUACGUAGGGUGCAAGCGUUAAUCGGAAUUACUGGGCGUAAAGCGUGCGCAGGCGGUUUUGUAAGACGGAUGUGAAAUCCCCGGGCUUAACCUGGGAACUGCAUUCGUGACUGCAAGGCUAGAGUAUGGCAGAGGGGGGUAGAAUUCCACGUGUAGCAGUGAAAUGCGUAGAGAUGUGGAGGAAUACCGAUGGCGAAGGCAGCCCCCUGGGCCAAUACUGACGCUCAUGCACGAAAGCGUGGGGAGCAAACAGGAUUAGAUACCCUGGUAGUCCACGCCCUAAACGAUGUCAACUAGUUGUUGGGGAUUCAUUUCCUUAGUAACGAAGCUAACGCGUGAAGUUGACCGCCUGGGGAGUACGGUCGCAAGAUUAAAACUCAAAGGAAUUGACGGGGACCCGCACAAGCGGUGGAUGAUGUGGAUUAAUUCGAUGCAACGCGAAAAACCUUACCUACCCUUGACAUGUACGGAAUCUUGCUGAAAGG
rnacentral:rRNA from 1 species